CAGCCACUCUGCUCACCUGGACACACAGCUGCUCCUCAUCUGCAAUCAAGUCACCACUUAAGCCUCCCCGGCUCGGUUUUUCCUGGUGUUCUCCAGUUUGGGUCUGUUACCGACCCCGCCCGUUCUCGAUUCUCCUGCCUUGCAGCGUUCCUGGAAACCAGACCUGCCUCCUGUCUCAGCCCUUCAUGUUUAGCAGUGGACCUGGACCUUUUUUGACUUUGUCCAAUCGAAGAAAAACCGUAUCUGGAUAAGUUACAUCUAACAACCUGCUAACAAAGCAACAGCUGAGCGACAACUAACACUAUUUGGGGACGAGGACGAGUACUUCCUGGGGCGGUGCUGUCACUGCUGGUGUAUCAAAGCAAUGAUCCUGGCAGUGAGAACGGUAGAGAGCCUACAGCAUCAGACAGCAUGCAUUGACAGGCUUCAUGGUGUACAUUCUGCAUUUGGACACAUCCACUUCCACAAACAUCCCAUCAAUUCCAAUUGAGGAGCAGGAUUUCCAGCCUUACAGUUGCACAAAAUAGGCAUAUUUUUCUUCAGUAGCUGGUUUCUGCAGGGUGUAUCCCCAAUGGGGCAAAGCAGCCCCGACCACAAAAGACAGGGCAGCUGUAAUCGACGGACGCCUUGGCUCACAUCAAAGCACUCGCCAAGCUGAGAUUUCAUCUCUCUUCGCCCACUGUUUCUGUCCCCAGCCGUCAUUCCGGGCGAGCGUUUGAGCUGAAGCCAUGUCCUGAUCACAGAGAUGUGGUAGAUAGUGUGAUAUGGCUAAACUGCUGACACAAGGCUCUCGGGCAGAUGGCACCUUUUGAUUCUGGGCCAAAAUGUUUCCUCCGCUGGCAAGGAACUCAAUUUUGUUGCUAUUCAU